rnacentral:rRNA from 1 species
AGAACGAACGCUGGCGGCAGGCUUAACACAUGCAAGUCGAGCGCCUCGCAAGAGGAGCGGCAGACGGGUGAGUAACGCGUGGGAACAUACCCUCCGGUUCGGAAUAACGCAGGGAAACUUGUGCUAAUACCGGAUACGGUCGAGAGGCGAAAGAUUUAUCGCCGGAGGAUUGGCCCGCGUUCGAUUAGCUAGUUGGCGGGGUAAAGGCCCACCAAGGCGACGAUCGAUAGCUGGUCUGAGAGGAUGAUCAGCCACAUUGGGACUGAGACACGGCCCAAACUCCUACGGGAGGCAGCAGUGGGGAAUAUUGGACAAUGGGCGCAAGCCUGAUCCAGCCAUGCCGCGUGAGUGAUGACGGCCUUAGGGUUGUAAAGCUCUUUCGCUAGGGACGAUAAUGACGGUACCUAGACAAGAAGCCCCGGCUAACUUCGCGCCAGCAGCCGC